GAAGCAACUUGGAUAUCACUUUCGUUUGCCAAACUAUUAAGUGAGGUAAAUGAGCUGCCAAGAAAGAAAUUAGUAAUAAACAUUAACAAAGUAAGCAUGUAAAAAAAUUACAACAGCAGUAAAAUCGAAUAACACGACAGGAAAACACAUGAAGGAUUAUUUUGAAUUCGACAGGCAUUGGAUCUCAGGGAAAAUGACCACAAAUGCUUUGAAAUUAUCUGGAUAUCAAUGUUCUUCCAACAAACACCCAAAAGAA